CAUUAGGCUCGCAGGAGAGAAAACUAACCGGACAAAUAGGAAAAAGAGGCCAGAACUCCCGAAAUUAGCGGACCCCAACCCCUGAGGAAUUGGCAGACCCCAAGCCCCUGAGUGCCUUUGGGGCUGACCUUGAUAGUCUGGGCAUUGUUUGCGAUGGAGCUGUUAUGGGGCCGCCCGCAGAGAACGGAGAUUGGAAUGAAGGAGCAUUUGCGGCCGAGGUCGUUGAGAGGGAAGAAAGGAGAGAGAGCGGAAUGGGCUUUGGGACUGCUAAACUGUCAUUAAAUCAGAAGAGCGA